UACGUAGGGUGCGAGCGUUAUCCGGAAUUACUGGGCGUAAAGAGCUCGUAGGUGGUUUGUCGCGUUGUCCGUGAAAACUCACAGCUUAACUGUGGGCGUGCGGGCGAUACGGGCAGACUGGAGUACUGCAGGGGAGACUGGAAUUCCUGGUGUAGCGGUGGAAUGCGCAGAUAUCAGGAGGAACACCGGUGGCGAAGGCGGGUCUCUGGGCAGUAACUGACGCUGAGGAGCGAAAGCGUGGGGAGCGAACAGG
rnacentral:rRNA from 1 species